AUUGAACGCUGGCGGCAGGCCUAACACAUGCAAGUCGAGCGGAAGAAGCGAGCUUGCUUCGGGAUUCAGCGGCGCACGGGUGUGUAAUGCAUAGGAAUCAGCCUGCUAGUGGGGGAUAAUGUCCGGAAACGGGCGCUAAUACUGCAUACGUCCUGCGGGAGAAAGUGGGGGAUCUUCGGACCUCUCGCUAUCAGAUGAGCCUACGUCGGAGUAGUUGGUUGGUGGGGUAAAGGCCUACCAAGCCGACGAUCCGCAACUGGUCUGAGAGGAUGAGCAGUCACCCUGGACCUGAGACGCGCUCACGGCUACUACGGGAGGCAGCAGUGGGGAAUAUGAGACAAUGGGAGAGAACCUGAUCCAACCAUCCCGAGUGUGAGAAACAGGCCUUCGGUUUGUAAAGAACGUUGAGGUGGGAGGAAGAGCAGUCAGUUAAUACGUUGCUGUAUUGACGGUACCAACAGAAGAAGCACCGGCUAACUUCGUG
rnacentral:rRNA from 1 species